GACGAACGCUGGCGGCGUGCCUAAUACAUGCAAGUAGAACGCUGAAGAGAGGAGCUUGCUCUUCUUGGAUGAGUUGCGAACGGGUGAGUAACGCGUAGGUAACCUGCCUUGUAGCGGGGGAUAACUAUUGGAAACGAUAGCUAAUACCGCAUAACAAUGGAUGACACAUGUCAUUUAUUUGAAAGGGGCAAUUGCUCCACUACAAGAUGGACCUGCGUUGUAUUAGCUAGUAGGUGAGGUAAUGGCUCACCUAGGCGACGAUACAUAGCCGACCUGAGAGGGUGAUCGGCCACACUGGGACUGAGACACGGCCCAGACUCCUACGGGAGGCAGCAGUAGGGGAUCUUCGGCAAUGGGGGCAACCCUGACCGAGCAACGCCGCGUGAGUGAAGAAGGUUUUCGGAUCGUAAAGCUCUGUUGUAAGUCAAGAACGGGUGUGAGAGUGGAAAGUUCACACUGUGACGGUAGCUUACCAGAAAGGGACGGCUAACUACGUG
rnacentral:rRNA from 1 species